rnacentral:lncRNA from 1 species
CCAGCUGGCUCGGAUGUUGGUGGAGUAUACCCAGAAUCAGAAAGAUGUUUUGUCGGAGAAGGAGAAAAAACUAGAGGGUGUCAUGAUUGACUUUGGCCUAUGAUGUUGGCCCUUAAACACCAGGCAAGGGUGGAAGGAAUGCUGCUGAAAAUCUGUGGGUAAUGUUUUUGUCAUGAACAUGAGAAAACCUAGAAAUGGAGAAGGCACGUGGAAGGAAGCACAAAUGGCAGCCCAAAGAGGAGGUUAGAGAAUGUGGAGGGUAUAGAAGAAAGCCCAUUCAGAAAGGCAAAGGCCAAAGAUACCAGAAAAGCCUUCCAGCUUCACUUCCAGAGCAAAGAGAAGCUUUGUUUGUGGUUGACAGAGGUGACUACAUUACUCCCAGAUGUCUGCUCAAAGCUCAUAAGACAUAGCGUGAGUGGGUUGGAUAGGGUUCCUGUCUUGUCAGCGUGAAUAAAGCAUGAUACAGACA